rnacentral:lncRNA from 12 species
AAUUGCAUGCAGCUGUUAUGUAAUUGUUCCACAUUUUUCUAGAAAAGAUUUUACUUCUACAUUUCAAAUUUGUAUUAUAAAAGCAGUAAAUGGAAGAUUUUUUUUGAUGUUAUUAUGUGGCAGGUACCUCCUGGGGACAAUAGCUAUUUAUUUAGUCUCAACAGCCCCCAGAAAGCAGCUCAAAGCUCAGGAAGUUACAUCCUCCAGCUCUGCUGUGGAAGACAACAUGGGAUGCCUGUGUUGGAACCAAACAUCAAUAUCAUAAAGCCACCACAACCAUGUCUGAGAGGAGAUAGCAGCUGGCCCAGCAGCAUUUGC